UGAGGAAUAUUGGUCAAUGGACGUAAGUCUGAACCAGCCAAGUAGCGUGCAGGAUGAAGGCCCUCCGGGUCGUAAACUGCUUUUGGGUGAGGGUAAAAGGCGGGACGUGUCCUGCGUAUUGCAAGUAUCACCCGAAUAAGGACCGGCUAAUUCCGUGCCAGCAGCCGCGGUAAUACGGAAGGUCCGGGCGUUAUCCGGAUUUAUUGGGUUUAAAGGGAGCGCAGGCGGUUCUUCAAGUCAGCUGUGAAAACGCGGGGCUCAACCUCGCGCCUGCAGUUGAUACUGUUGAACUUGAGUGCACACAGGGAUGUUGGAAUUCAUGGUGUAGCGGUGAAAUGCUUAGAUAUCAUGAAGAACUCCGAUCGCGAAGGCAUAUGUCCGGUGUGUUACUGACGCUGAGGCUCGAAAGCGCGGGUAUCGAACAGGA
rnacentral:rRNA from 1 species